CCUACGGGAGGCAGCAGUGGGGGAUAUUGCACAAUGGGGGGAACCCUGAUGCAGCGACGCCGCGUGGGUGAAGGAGUGCUUCGGCAUGUAAAGCCCUAUCGGCAGGGAAGAAGCAAGACGGUACCUGAAUAAGAAGCCCCGGCUAACGACGUGCCAGCCGCCGCGGUAAUACGUAGGGGGCGAGCGUUAUCCGGAUUCACUGGGGGGAACGGGAGCGUAGACGGCCAUGCAAGCCAGGGGUGAAAGCCCGGGGCCCAACCCCGGGACUGCCCUUGGAACUGCAUGGCUGGAGGGCGGGAGGGGCAGGCGGAAUUCCUGGUGUAGCGGUGAAAUGCGUAGAUAUCAGGAGGAACCCCGGCGGCGAAGGCGGCCUGCUGGACCGCGACUGACGUUGAGGCUCGAAAGCGUGGGGAGCGAACAGGAUUAGAUACCCCUGUAGUC
rnacentral:rRNA from 1 species